rnacentral:rRNA from 1 species
UCGCGGCGGUGCGCGCAGAAGGGUCUGGGCUCGAGCCUGCCUGGAGCCGCCGCCGGUGCAGAUCUUGGUGGUAGUAGCAAAUACUCCAGCGAGGCCCUGGAGGACUGAUGUGGAGAAGGGUUUCGUGUGAACAGCCGUUGCACACGAGUCAGUCGAUCCUAAGCCCUAGGAGAAAUCCGAUGCAAACGGCGAUGGGAAAAACGAUUCGACUCUAUUGAGACAGAGACCCAUUGAACGGGCGAAAGGGAAUCCGGUUCCUAUUCCGGAACCCGGCUGCGGAACCGUUGUUUGUCGGGCCCUCGCAAGGGGUUCGUCAGGGCAACCUAAAAGGGCCCGGAGACGCCGUCGGGGGCCCCGUAAAGAGUUUUCUUUUCUCCAUGAGCGUUCGAGUUCCCUGGAAUCCUCUCGCAGGGAGAUAGGGUUUGGAGCGCGAAGAGCACCGCAGUUGCGGCGGUGCACGGGAAUUCCCGACGGACCUUGAAAAUCCGGGAGAGGGCCACGUGGAGGUGUCGCGCCGGUUCGUACCCAUAUCCGCAGCAGGUCUCCAAGGUGAAGAGCCUCUAGUC